UACGUAGGGUGCAAGCGUUGUCCGGAAUUAUUGGGCGUAAAGAGCUCGUAGGCGGUUUGUCGCGUCUGCUGUGAAAUCCCGAGGCUCAACCUCGGGUCUGCAGUGGGUACGGGCAGACUGGAGUGCGGUAGGGGAGAAUGGAAUUCCUGGUGUAGCGGUGGAAUGCGCAGAUAUCAGGAGGAACACCGAUGGCGAAGGCAGUUCUCUGGGCCGUAACUGACGCUGAGGAGCGAAAGCAUGGGGAGCGAACAGG
rnacentral:rRNA from 1 species